rnacentral:rRNA from 1 species
GAUGAACGCUGGCGGCGUGCCUAAUACAUGCAAGUCGAGCGAACAGACGAGGAGCUUGCUCCUCUGACGUUAGCGGCGGACGGGUGAGUAACACGUGGAUAACCUACCUAUAAGACUGGGAUAACUUCGGGAAACCGGAGCUAAUACCGGAUAAUAUAUUGAACCGCAUGGUUCAAUAGUGAAAGACGGUUUUGCUGUCACUUAUAGAUGGAUCCGCGCCGCAUUAGCUAGUUGGUAAGGGAACGGCUUACCAAGGCAACGAUGCGUAGCCGACCUGAGAGGGUGAUCGGCCACACUGGAACUGAGACACGGUCCAGACUCCUACGGGAGGCAGCAGUAGGGAAUCUUCCGCAAUGGGCGAAAGCCUGACGGAGCAACGCCGCGUGAGUGAUGAAGGUCUUCGGAUCGUAAAACUCUGUUAUUAGGGAAGAACAAAUGUGUAAGUAACUAUGCACGUCUUGACGGUACCUAAUCAGAAAGCCACGGCUAACUACGUG